CCACGCCGUAAACGAUGAGUGUUAGGUGUCUGAGAUAAAUUGGGCGCCGCAGCUAACGCAUUAAACACUCCGCCUGGGGAGUACGCACGCAAGUGUGAAACUCAAAGGAAUUGACGGGGACCCGCACAAGCAGCGGAGCAUGUGGUUUAAUUCGAAGCAACGCGAAAAACCUUACCAAGUCUUGACAUAUUUCGGCGUGAAAUAGAGAUAUAACACUAUGACUUCGGUCAACUGAAAUACAGGUGGUGCAUGGUUGU
rnacentral:rRNA from 1 species